rnacentral:misc_RNA from 1 species
UUGAUUCAUUUUUGUUUUUACUCAGAGCCACGAUUAAAGGUGUUUAGAUGUCCACUGGCGGGCGCUCCCCAGCGAGUGCCGAGGGUGUACGAGACACGUCCCGCCAAAGCAACUAGAUAGGUAUACAGAGGGUUGGAGUAGGCGCCCAGAGGGCACCGGUACUCAUUAAUGAUCCUUCCGCAGGUUCACCUACGGAAA